GCUACAUAGGGCUAUUUUCAAUAUAUGCUGGGCAGAGACUAAAUUGUGUUCCAAACUGUUACUUAGCAUUGCAUCAAAGGAUAAACUGUCUGUCCCCAAGUCCUUGUCACAAGUUUUGCUUUUAAGGACAUUCAAACUUAAAGAAAUGGAAGAUGGGGAAGGAACAGUGGGAGAAAGAAACUAUAGAGAAGAAGUGAUGCUGAGAUGGAACUUGAAAGACAGAUAUGAUACCUGGAACUGCAGCAGGCAUCUUGCAACCAUGAGGCAACAAGCCAACAUGCUAAUAAUGACUGAGUGGAUAGAAGAGAAAGAAAGAGCUUGUCUGCAUUAAACAUUAUCCUGGGCUGCUGAUGUAUACAGGGCA